GACGAACGCUGGCGGCAUGCUUAACACAUGCAAGUCGAACGAAGUGGCGAACGGGUGAGUAACGCGUAAUCAACCUGCCCUUCAGAGGGGGACAACAGUUGGAAACGACUGCUAAUACCGCAUACUGAAGGAGGGGAUUGCGUCUGAUUAGCUAGUUGGAGGGUUAACGGCCCACCAAGGCGAUGAUCGGUAACGGGUGUGCGAGGAUGAACGGCCACAUUGGGAAUGCGACACGGCCCAGACUCCUACGGGAGGCAGCAGUGGGGAAUCUUCUGCAAUGGACGAAAGUCUGACGGAGCAACGCCGCGUGAGUGAUGACGUCCUUCGGGUUGUAAAGCUCUGUUAAUCGGGACGCGGUACCGGAAUAGAAAGCCACGGCUAACUACGUGCCAGCAGCCGCGGUAAUUC
rnacentral:rRNA from 1 species